CACACUUACUCAUGUGACGCGCUAAAAUUAUAAUGAUUUGGAUGAUAAAUAAAAAAAGAGGCAAUAACGAUAAUUUUUGAAAAAAAUCUUGUCAGCCCUUAUUUUUGUAGGAAAAAUACCAAACAUAAAAAACUUAAAAAAUAAAAUAAAAAAUGAUCAUAUCAUAAUCAAUGAACGAACAAACAUUUGUUGUGGAGCUAAAUAAGUGUACAGGUACUUGACCUGAAAUGCCGGAGUUUUGAAAGAAUACAUGAGUACCUAUAUUAUUAUAUAUUAGUAUGAAAACAAAAGAAAAAAAAUAUCAGUAUACAGGUACCAAUAAUUACUAUAUUAUAUGUACUUACGGGUAUUACUGCUAUUUAUUAUAUAGCUAUAGUUAUUAUGAUGGUGUGUGAUGGUAAAAUACUAAAAUCCAAGUCAUAAAAAGAACGGAUAAAAAUCGAGAGGUUUUUGAUCAUUAUAGCGCGCAUGAAAUAAAUAGUUGACUGUACAAUAUAUUCGAUCGAUACAUAAUAUAUAAUAUAUAGUACCUAUCAGUAGCCUAUAUGUACAUGGAGGGGAGGGGGUACAUAGUGUGCCGCAGCCCUCCGAAAUGUAUUUCUCGAGUGAUCGAUUUUAGGUAAAACUCAUAAAACCAUCCCAUAUCUACUAUGUCUUCUAGUCCAUAAUGUAAAUUAAAUUAUAUUUAUAUAAUUAAAUAUUUGUUAUCAUUUUAUUUUGGAAUUCAUAAUAUAUCAUAAUAAUAAUAGUCUUACAAUAUCAUUACCUAGUUUCAUUUUCAGAUAUGUUUUUUCAGCGGAUCAUAUCGACAACAAUCGCCUACCACUCACCAGUUCACUCAAAAUAAUACCUACAGACAAACGACACCUGUGUUAGAUUUUAUUUUAUAUUUUUUAAUUAUUUUAUGUAGGUACCCACUUCAUUCUGUACUUAGCAUGAUUCUAAUAAUUGAUUAUUAUCAAUAUUAAGGACUAGGUACCUAUUAUUUUUAUACACCUACCCACUCAUUAAUAAUUACUGGAAUACUAGGUAAUCAAUAAAUUUAAUUUAACUUAUUUUAUUAAUAAAAAAAAAACUUUCUUAUUCUAAGCACUUCUUGUUCAACUUCAAACUUUUUAAAACCACUAUCCAUUAUAUCCUACCUCGAAAAUAUUGUCUAUGGAUACGUUACGCUACGGAUACCUAUACUCUGCUUAUAGGUACGAUAGUGAAACGAACUUAAAUCUAUAGUCUAUGCGAGCAUUUACAUAGGAGUGAUGGAGGAGUAUAUUGUAUAUACCUACGUAAUAUUGUAUAAUAUAAUAUCGAACAUGUCCUUUAUUAUUAUACCUUUACCCGGAAAUUCGAAAUUUGCGUAUAACACAUGUAUUGCGUGCCUAAAACAAUCGCGUACAAGCUACCUAUAUUGUUAUUUAGACUAAAAAAAAAAAAGGAAAAGAGUACGAGACUUAGGUUCAGUUUUUGGAGCUAGUUAGGUGUAUAGGCCUACCUAGACACCUACCUAGACAAUGUGUGGUGCGCUAAUAAAAUAUUGAGAUAAAAAAAAAAUGUUGAGGAUUUUGCGGACCAGUUUGGGUACAACAAUAAUUUAAUAAUAUAUAGAUACAUAAAUUAUAUAAUAGUUAUUUGGUAUAGUAGCAUAGGUAUUUCUAUUUACAUAGAUGGACGAACGAAUAGAUAAUAAGUACACGAUUCUACGUCUAACGUCGGAACGGAGACGAUAUUUAUAGUGAGGAUUAGAUGUGGAAGUUUAUUCUUAUAAGGAGCCGACGAUUUGUAGGACCCAAAUUGAGUACAAGUCUAAAAAUAGUUUAAUGAAAAAAAAAAAAGAAAAUAGUGAACAUCGUAAUGUGCAGAAACGUAUUGUGCCCUUUCGUGCAGAAAUAGUAUACAUUUAAAUUUUAAAAUUGUUCAAGAAAUAUAUUAAAU